rnacentral:rRNA from 1 species
AGAGUUUGAUCCUGGCUCAGGAUGAACGCUAGCGGCAGGCUUAACACAUGCAAGUCGAGGGGUAACAGGGAGUGCUUGCACUCUGCUGACGACCGGCGCACGGGUGCGUAACGCGUAUGCAACCUACCUUCUACAGGGGGAUAGUCCAGAGAAAUUUGGCAUAAUACCCCAUACGAUCAUUUAUUGGCAUCGAUAGAUGAGGAAAACUCCGGUGGUAGAAGAUGGGCAUGCGUCCUAUUAGUUAGUUGGUAAGGUAACGGCUUACCAAGACAUCGAUAGGUAGGGGUCCUGAGAGGGAGAUCCCCCACACUGGUACUGAGACACGGACCAGACUCCUACGGGAGGCAGCAGUGAGGAAUAUUGGACAAUGGAGGCAACUCUGAUCCAGCCAUGCCGCGUGCAGGAAGACGGCCCUACGGGUUGUAAACUGCUUUUAUACAGGAAGAAACGCCGCUACGUGUAGCGGUUUGACGGUACUGUACGAAUAAGGAUCGGCUAACUCCGUGCCAGCAGCCGCGGUAAU